AUUCAGACUUUCCCCAUGAGAGUAGGUAAUCCCAGUCUAUGAGAAUUGAAAUCUGAAGUUCAGGAGACACUCACAUCUGGGUGUUAAAUGUCCCCAGAAAAACCAAGGUGGCAACUCAUGUUCUUGUUGGGAGGGUGGUUCCCGUUGUCAGAUAUCCAUGACCUUCCUUUGGGAAAGGAAGGACCAGCAGGGAGAAGGAGCUACUUAGAGACUCCAGCCUGCCAUGAGGAUGAAGGGGAGGAAGGAGAUACACAUGCUCGGAGUGGACCUAAUGGACAUUUCCACAGAGAUCAAAGGGUGACAAGCGGAUGAAUCGAACUCCGAGGCUUUUUUCUCCACUCCAGAUUCAUUUGAAGAUUUCUCCCAGAUGCGGCACUAAAACCCUAGAUUCAAUUUCCCUUUGACAUAAUAACCGAAUUAGUCUCAUAUUGUCAUACAUAAAUUACUAGCCAGUCAGGGUGCCACCAGAGGGAGAGAGAGCUGGAGAGAAAGCCAGGCACGAGCAUCCAAGGGGUGUGACUCUGACAAGUGGGGACCUGAAUAACAAUGGGGACAGGAGGGGAAGAGCUAAUCAUAUCUGACAAACGAGGAGCAUCCCCAGGCGGCAGCAAAGGUGCAGAUUAUUUACCUUCCUCCCCAUGCCCCUGGCCAUUAAAAUGUCACCGUGGGGAGCCUCGCACCUUACAAGAGAUACACGGAUCUAAAUAUCUUCUCCAUUAAGUAAUGCUCUGUUUGCAAAGGCUGCUUUCAAAGGGGAAAAUGUAAUUGUGUGGAACACUGAUGCAGCUUCCCAGACUUCAAGACGGAGCUGAGCCUGGCAGAGGACCUGUCUGAGGCCCAGUUUGGGGCACAGAUGCCAAUCCUGAGCCCAGGGGGGCUCGGCCUGGCUUAUUCUGAGCACAGAGGUGGCCUCCCAGCCUACCCCAUGUGGGCCCUGGGGCCACGAGUGAGACCAGAUCGAAGCCAGCUGGAAUGAGGCUUCCUCACCUGCCCACCGGCCACUGGGCCCCAGGCCAGGGCCCUGGGGACACUCCUUAAGCCUUCCCCUCCAUUUCCCCUGGCCCAUCUGUUCAUUCUGCUCAAUUCUCCUAAAAGCUCUGGCCUCUGGCCUCACUGCUGCAGCCCAUGUUCGCUGGGAUUAUAACCACAGCCUCCUGAUUAGAUUGCCCACCUUCAGUCCUACUUAACGACCCAUGCUCCGCUUAGCCACCAGAACGGAUCUCUCCAAAGCGCACAUGCUUGGCAGUGCUUCCCUGAAUGAAAGCUUUCAGGCAGGGCCCUGAAGAGGACGGUCCAGACCUCUUAGUACAGCCUGAAGAGGAGCAUGGUCUGACCGUUGCCCACCGCUCCAGGUGUAUCCCUUGGUCCAGACCCUCACCUGUACCAUUGAGCAAGUAAGCUCUGCGGUUUCCUGAGCUGUUUCUUUAGCAUGGAACAUCCUUCUGCUCCUUCACUUUCAACUUAAGCCUUGUCUCCAAAUAACGCAUCUCCGGGUCUCCCUAGAUCCAGUCAAAGCCUCCACUGCUCCUGUUAGUUUCUACUGCUCCCCAUCCUACUUCUCUCAUGGCACCUGAAACAUGUUAUUGCUCUUUAUUUAAAAUAUUUUUAUUGGAGGAUAGUUGAUCUACAAUGUUAUGUUUCUAUUGUACAGAAAAGUGAAUCAGUUAUACCUACCCACAUUUUUUUUCCAGAUCUUCUGCCCAGUUUUUUUUUUCUUCUUCUUAACUUUUUAUUUUGUAUUGGAGUAUAGCUGAUUAACAGUGUUUUGAUAGUUUCAGGUGGACAGCAAAGGGACUCAGUCA
rnacentral:lncRNA from 1 species